rnacentral:lncRNA from 1 species
GAAUCUGAUGAUGGAAAGGUUGUUGUUUUUAUCUACAUACUUGAUUGGCUCGAUGUUUGCUUAGAAUAGGUUGCACAACCUAGACUGGUAAGUAAAUCUAAGAACCGGAGCUAAAACUUGAAAGUAGGUUACUUAGUGCUUUUGGCAAAACAAACCCCUCAGCCAAGAAGCCUUGCAUGUCUAGUUGGAAGAGUAGUUGGCUCCUCCCCGGUUAAGUCUUGUUGAGCUUAGUAGCUCAGCCUUGUUGUGGCUCCUGUUUUUUUCAGGUGAAGUUGCAGUUCCCGACCCCUCCCUUGUUGGCGCUUGGCCGCCCCAGCUCCCGCCAGGCUGGACGGUCGAGUGGGACCCCUCCUCGGACGGCGAGGAGAGGACUCAGUGAUGUUCUGGCUGGCCUCGCCCGGACGUCCGACCCCGACGAAGUCUUCCGCUAGCUUUCUCUGUUGAUCUUUGUUUGUAAACCCUAAUGUUGGAUUUUAUGGUGGAACCAAAAUGAGUAAAACUUGUUUAAAAUCCGUGGACUCGUUGUAUUCUCUGUAACCGCUCGCCUUGUGUGGGUUGCUGAACUCG